UUGAACGCUGGCGGCAUGCUUUACACAUGCAAGUCGAACGGCGGCGCGGGCUUCGGCCUGGCGGCGAGUGGCGAACGGGUGAGUAAUGCAUCGGAACGUGCCCAGUAGUGGGGGAUAGCCCGGCGAAAGCCGGAUUAAUACCGCAUACGACCUGAGGGUGAAAGCGGGGGACCGAAAGGCCUCGCGCUAUUGGCGCGGCCGAUGUCGGAUUAGCUAGUUGGUGGGGUAAAGGCUUACCAAGGCGACGAUCCGUAGCUGGUCUGAGAGGACGACCAGCCACACUGGGACUGAGACACGGCCCAGACUCCUACGGGAGGCAGCAGUGGGGAAUUUUGGACAAUGGGGGCAACCCUGAUCCAGCCAUGCCGCGUGCGGGAAGAAGGCCUUCGGGUUGUAAACCGCUUUUGUUCGGGAAGAAAUCCUCUGGGCUAAUACCCCGGGGGGAUGACGGUACCGGAAGAAUAAGCACCGGCUAACUACGUG
rnacentral:rRNA from 1 species